CAUUGUCACAAGGUGACAAUCUUUUUUUUAAGGGCGGAACCAAAGUUCGGGAAGUUUUGGUUCCGCCCGGAAAGUUUCCCCACCGGGCCAUAUAUGAGGACGGACCUUCUCACUUCCUGGUUGCCAGGACGACGGAAUUAGGGCUUGACGAGCUGCAGGUGAGAGGGAUUAAGGCAGCGAAACAUGAUUGGAGGCCGGUUGAAAUAAAUAGCUCUGCUGAAACACAAGAAGGGGAGUUCGGGCACGAGAAGGGAGGCACGCGGGGAAAGCUCCUCUGCCUAGGGCAGGAACAGUAAAUACGUACCUUUUGAAGAGCCCGCAGGCUCUGUUGAUCCGGGCUGCGCUUGGAGCGCGCGGAGAGAAGACAGGAGCUGUCUGGGGCGAAAGGAAGACGAUACGUGGGUGGAGAAAAGGAGCACCCCGAAGAGAGCAUUGUGCUGUCAAGUUUGUUUUAGUGUGUGCAGAGGAACGGAGCUGUGCUCGUGAUAGACGUGGUGGCUGUCUAUAUUUUCUCUCUCUCUCUCUCGCUGCAGUCUGCGGUGCAAACGCUGGAGUUAAAGGAAAACCCUACGGGUAGAAGAAACAUUGGUCUGAGUGGCACAUUUAAAAGAGUAAAGCGGGAAGGAAACCGACUUUGUGGCACAACAUAAAUAAAGGAGGAUCGCUGUGAGUAUCACUCUUGUGCUAAGCACUUGUAAACCUAACCUGUGAAAUUGUGUGGAUACCUCCAGGAGAGGGAGGGCGGCCCUGCCCCUGAAACAGCGUGGUGGGUGAGCCGUUAGAAGCGUCAAUCCAAGCAGCCACAGCAACGAAAUACUAUUCUGGACGUAUUUUCCAUCGCCCUUAUUUCAGCCCAAGUGAAGUGGAGGACGCCGGGCGUUUCCUUUGUUGUGUACACUUAUAGUGUGACGAAGCCCCGCAUCAUCCAUUUUUCUACUGGGCAGAGGACGGAGAGGCUAACGACCUCAGAAUUUACAGCUACCAUACGCAGUGUGCUGUUUUGGAGUGUGAAGGGACGCAGAUCAAGAGCUGUCAGUGACUGUGAGUACAAUAUUGGAAAUAUUCGUGGUGCAAACUUACCUGUGUCUGUCCUUGUCGCAGAGUCGGAGGCGAGAGGGUCCGCCGCCCCCGCGGUCUCUACAAAGGGGCGCCCCUGUCCGGGAUUCGAUCGUCCGACGGGCAGUGGAGAUAGGGCAGCGCUCGACCCGGUGAGGUGGUGUGUGACCUUCGCCCCUCUGCUGACCUAUGGAGGAAACCAUACUUAUCAAGAGCUGUAAGAAGCAGAGCAGGCGAGAAGCAUCCAAAGCCCACGUAACAGUGUUUUGUGUCCUAGUGGCCACCUGUGGAGGGAAAGGAGAACGAGAGCGUACAUUAAGAAAACAGACUGAGUAAAGUGAUACCUACCCAGAGAGCUAUAAACAGCAGAGCCGGUGAGAAAUACUCAAAAUCCAAGUUAACAGUGUUUUUGUGUCCCAGCGGCCACCUGUGGAGAGAAAGGAGAACGAGUAAUGCACGCCAAGAGAAUGGACUGUGUGAAGAUCCAGUGGGUGGUGAAGGAGGAGAGCCUAGAGUGGCCAUUAUUUUAAGUCCCCCUUUUUCCCUUCCCUAUUUAUCAUUUUUAAGUAAUUAAAUAAAGUACAUUUUAAUUUA